CAAACAUGGCCGAUGGGGUGUUGCUUACGGAGGAUAAUCAUUGCCAGCCGAUUCUUGUUAAUGGUGAAUUGAUGCCUACAGUGCCGGAGUACAUGCCCUCGUUUCCCAUCUCAUUGAAGGGUAUUAAACGACAUUUCGUUUGCAAGUUAUCUGCCCCUAAAACUAAUUCUACGACUCCUUCGACCACAUUAAGCCGUACAACUUUCGAUUCGUUUUCAGCAUCCACUACUUCUCGUGAAGCAACAACCAAUUCUGUAUCGGAAUCGACCACAUCAAAUCCCACUUCA